GACGAACGCUGGCGGCGUGCUUAACACAUGCAAGUCGAACGGAAAGGCCCUGCUUUUGUGGGGUGCUCGAGUGGCGAACGGGUGAGUAACACGUGAGUAACCUGCCCUUGACUUUGGGAUAACUUCAGGAAACUGGGGCUAAUACCGGAUAGGAGCUCCUGCUGCAUGGUGGGGGUUGGAAAGUUUCGGCGGUUGGGGAUGGACUCGCGGCUUAUCAGCUUGUUGGUGGGGUAGUGGCUUACCAAGGCUUUGACGGGUAGCCGGCCUGAGAGGGUGACCGGCAAAAUUGGGACUGAGAUACGGCCCAGACCCCUACGGGGGGAAGCGGGGGGGAAUAUGGCAAAAGGGGGGGAAGCCUGAUGCAGCAACGCCGGGGGGGGGAUGACGGCCUUCGGGUUGUAAACCGCUUUCGCCUGGGACGAAGGGUGGGGGGGGGUAAGGGGUAAAGAAGCACCGGCUAACUACGU
rnacentral:rRNA from 1 species